rnacentral:tRNA from 1 species
GGUAAAAUGGCUGAGUUAGGCAAUAAAUUGUAAAUUUAUUUACGAAAAAUAUUUCUUUUAUCA